GUCUCAGUAAGUCAGGACCAUCUGUGGAUCCCGGUCAGUCAGUCAGGAGGGCAGUUGCUGGAAUGUUCCCAGUCAGCCCAGAGGCGCGUGAGUUCCAUUGCAGUGGCUGACAGCUGACAUGCUCCCUGAGCACAGGGACCAGUGUCGUCCUCAACACGUCUCAGCUCAGCAAGGACAGGGCCCGAGGCCCAACCCCACCUGCUGCAGGGCCAUGGCCACACGGAGAGCCACACACACAUCACUGGGCCUGAGGCUGAGCGGCUCAGGGAAGGUGACAGGAGUGAAGGAUCUGGUCACCAGGCUCAACUCACUCAGAGGGGUGGCUAGGCUCCUCUGCACAGCCCACUCCCCCGAGGGUCUUCAGUGGACAGGUGUUGAUUGGUUUGGAUGCUGAUGGAACUAAAGGAGACGGAGGCAUGGCUGGAUCCCUCCUCCCACAAGUGGACCAGGCCCCUCUGUGGCCUCAGGUUCAGGCUCCAGCCCUGAGGGAGGCCGUGGGUGCCCACACCAACUCCCACCUGGACCAGGUCAGGCCUUGGAGACUCCA